rnacentral:sRNA from 1 species
GUGCGGGAGAUUCGAAGUGAACGUGCACAUCUAUUCCUCCUGGCGUUACCAUCAGACCUUCUGCCGAUACUACUUCCGUAGCGCAUCCGAUGAUGAGCCCCGGCGUUAUGUUCAUGGUAUCGGGGUUCCCCGCCUUUCCUAUUCCUACGAUGACACCAUCCUUGAUGCCGAUAUCGCCUUUCACCACUCCUACCAUAGGGUCUAUGAUUAUAGCGUUGGUCACGCAGACAUCAAGCACGCCGUCCUCUGUAGUCUUGCCCGACAUAUUUCCCAUUCCGUCU